rnacentral:rRNA from 1 species
GAUGAACGCUAGCGGCAGGCCUAAUACAUGCAAGUCGAACGGUGUAGCAAUACACAGUGGCGCACGGGUGCGUAACACGUAUGCAACCUACCUUACAUUGGGGGAUAGCCUUUCGAAAGGGAGAUUAAUACCGCAUAAGACAGUAACUAGGCAUCUAGUUGCUGUUAAAGAUUUAUCGAUGUAAGCUGGGCAUGCGUCCAAUUAGUUAGUUGGCGAGGUAAUGGCUCACCAAGACGAUGAUUGGUAGGGGAACUGAGAGGUCAAUCCCCCACCCUGGCACGGGGGUACGGGCCAGACUCCUCCGGGAGGCAGCAGUAGGGAAUAUUGGCAAUGGGCGCAAGCCUGACCCAGCCAUGCCGCGGGCAGGAAGAAGGCGUUAUGCGUUGUAAACUGCUUUUAUACAGGAAGAAACGACCCUUGCGAGGGGCAUUGACGGUACUGUAUGAAUAAGCACCGGCUAACUCCGUGCCAGCCGCCGCCGUAAGAC